rnacentral:lncRNA from 1 species
AUGCCUGAGCAGGACAAGGACCCCAGAGUCCAAGAAAAUCCUGCUGAUCAGAGAACGGUCCCCGAGGUCACCGGGGAUGCACGGUCUGCAUUUUGGCCCCUGCGGGACAAUGGAGGCCUCUCUCCCUUUGUGCCCAGGCCCGGGCCUCUGCAGACAGACCUCGAUGCCCAGAGCUCAGAAAUCAGAUAUAACCAGACAUCCCAGACAUCCUGGACGAGCUCGAGCACAAAACGAAAUGCCAUCUCCAGCUCCUACAGCUCCACGGGAGGCUUGCCGGGGCUAAAGCAGAGGAGGGGACCAGCCUCAUCCCGCUGCCAGCUGACCCUCAGUUACUCAAAGACAGUGAGUGAGGACAGGCCUCAGGCUGUCUCUUCGGGUCACACACGGUGUGAAAAGGCGGCAGAUACAGCACCAGGGCAGACACUCGCCCCAAGGGGUGGCUCCCCCAGAUCCCAGGCCUCUAGGCCCCGUAGACGCAAGAUUCCCCUGCUGCCAAGCAGGCGAGGGGAGCCUUUGAUGCUGCCACCUCCCUUAGAGCUGGGGUACCGGGUCACGGCGGAAGACCUGCACCUGGAAAAACAGGCAGCAUUCCAGCGCAUCAACAGUGCACUGCACGUUGAGGACAAGGCCAUCUCGGACUGCAGACCCUCACGGCCUUCCCACACUUUGUCCUCACUUGCAACAGGGGCUUCGGGUGGGCCUCCCCUUUCUAAAGCACCCACUAUGGAUGCACAGCAGGACAGACCCAAGUCCCAAGACUGCCUGGGCCUAGUGGCCCCCCUAGCAUCUGCUGCAGAGGUCUCCUCUACAGCUCCCGUGUCUGGGAAGAAGCAGAGACCACCAGGACCCCUGUUCUCCUCCUCAGAUACCCUUCCUGCCACCUCUUCCCACUCCCGGGACUCAGCCCAGGUCACCUCGAUGAUUCCUGCCCCCUUCACAGCUGCAAGCAGGGAUGCCGGCAUGAGAAGAACAAGGUCGGCCCCUGCAGCUGCCGCAGCAGCCCCUCCCCCCUCCACAUUGAACCCCACGUCGGGGUCACUACUCAAUGCAGUGGAUGGAGGCCCCUCACAUUUCUUGGCCUCAGCCACAGCUGCAGCACGUGCCCAGAGGUCAGAAGUGAGAUAUAACCAGAGAUCCCAGACCACCCGGACCAGAUCCUGCCUCAAACGAAAUGCCAGCUCCAGCUCCCACAGCUCUACGGAAGGCCUCCCGGAACUAAAGCGGAGGAGGGGGCCAGCCUCAGCCCACUGCCAGCUGGCCCACAGUUCCUCAAAGACAGUGAGUGAGGACGGAGCUCAGGCUGUCUCUACGGGUCACCGCUGUGAAAAGAAGGCAGACACAGCACCAGGGCAGACACUCGCCCCCAGGGGUGGCUCCCCCAGAUCCCAGGCCUCUAGGCCCCACAUCAACAGUGCACUGCACGUUGAGGACAAGGCCAUCUCGGACUGCAGACCCUCACGGCCUUCCCACACUUUGUCCUCACUUGCAACAGGGGCUUCGCGUGGGCCUCCCGUUUCUAAAGCACCCACUAUGGAUGCACAGCAGGACAGACCCAAGUCCCAAGACUGCCUGGGCCUAGUGGCCCCCCUAGCAUCUGCUGCAGAGGUCCCCUCUACAGCUCCCGUGUCUGGGAAGAAGCACAGACCACCAGGACCCCUGUUCUCCUCCUCAGAUCCCCUUCCUGCCACCUCUUCCCACUCCCGGGACUCAGCCCAGGUCACCUCGCUGAUUCCUGCCCCCUUCACAGCUGCAAGCAGGGAUGCCAGCAUGAGAAGAACAAGGCCUGGCACCUCCGCUCCUGCAGCUGCAGCAGCAGCCCCUCCCCCCUCCACAUUGAACCCCACGUCGGGGUCACUACUCAAUGCAGUGAAUGGAGGCCCCUCACAUUUCUUGGCCUCAGCCACAGCUGCAGCACGUGCCCAGAGGUCAGAAGUGAGAUAUAACCAGAGAUCCCAGACCUCCCGGACCAGAUCCUGCCUCCAAGGAAAUGCCAGCUCCAGCUCCCACAGUUCUACGGAAGGCCUCCCGGAACUAAAGCGGAGGAGGGGGCCAGCCUCAUGCCACUGCCAGCUGGCCCUCAGUUCCUCAAACACAGUGAGUGAGGACGGACCUCAGGCUGUCUCUUCGGGUCACACCCGCUGUCAAAAGGCAGAUACAGCACCAGGGCAGACACUCGCCCCCAGGGGUGGCUCCCCCAGAUCCCAGGCCUCUAGGCCCCACAUCAACAGUGCACUGCACGUUGAGGGCAAGGCCAUCUCGGACUGCAGACCCUCACGGCCUUCCCACACUUUGUCCUCACUUGCAACGGGGGCUUCGCGUGGGCCUCCCCUUUCUAAAGCACCCACUAUGGAUGCACAGCAGGACAGACCCAAGUCCCAAGACUGCCUAGGCCUAGUGGCCCCCCUAGCAUCUGCUGCAGAGGUCUCCUCUACAGCUCCCGUGUCUGGGAAGAAGCACAGACCACCAGGACCCCUGUUCUCCUCCUCAGAUCCCCUUCCUGCCACCUCUUCCCACUCCGGGGACUCAGCCCAGGACACCUCGCUGAUUCCUGCCCCCCUCACACCUGCAAGCAGGGAUGCCGGCGUGAGAAGAAUGUUUUGUGUUCGAAAUUGUUUGAGGGGUUUGGGUUUAUUUUUGUUGGUUUUUUCUUUUUUGUUUUUGCUUACAUGGGCAUCCUUCAGCUUU